rnacentral:rRNA from 1 species
AUUGAACGCUGGCGGCAGGCUUAACACAUGCAAGUCGAACGGUAACAUAAAGAAGCUUGCUUCUUUGAUGACGAGUGGCGGACGGGUGAGUAAUGCUUGGGAAUCUGGCUUAUGGAGGGGGAUAACUACGGGAAACUGUAGCUAAUACCGCGUAGAAUCGGGAGACGAAAGUGUGGGACCUUCGGGCCACAUGCCAAAGGAUGAGCCCAAGUGGGAUUAGGUAGUUGGUGAGGUAAAGGCUCACCAAGCCGACGAUCUCUAGCUGGUCUGAGAGGAUGACCAGCCACACUGGGACUGAGACACGGCCCAGACUCCUACGGGAGGCAGCAGUGGGGAAUAUUGCGCAAUGGGGGCAACCCUGACGCAGCCAUGCCGCGUGAAUGAAGAAGGCCUUCGGGUUGUAAAGUUCUUUCGGUAGCGAGGAAGGCAUUUAGUUUAAUAUACUGGAUGAUUGACGUAAC